GACGUAGGUGGCGAACGUUAUCCGGAAUUAUUGGGCGUAAAGGAUGCGUAGAUGGUGUAGUAAGUUAUCGGUGGUAAAUCGAGGCUCAACCUCGUGGAAGUCGGUAAUACUGCUAUGCUAGAGGAUAGGAGAGGUUAACGGAACUCCCUGUGGAGCGGUGAAAUGCGUAGAUAUAGGGAAGAACACCAAUAAGGCGAAGGCAGUUAACUAUUCUAUUCCUGACAUUGAGGCAUGAAAGCGUGGGGAGCAAACAGG
rnacentral:rRNA from 1 species